CCUACGGGUGGCAGCAGUCGAGAAUCAUUCACAAUGGGGGAAACCCUGAUGGUGCGACGCCGCGUGGGGGAAUGAAGGUCUUCGGAUUGUAAACCCCUGUCAUGUGGGAGCAAAUUAAAAAGAUAAUACCACAAGAGGCAGAGACGGCUAACUCUGUGCCAGCAGCCGCGGUAAUACAGAGGUCUCAAGCGUUGUUCGGAAUCACUGGGCGUAAAGCGUGCGUAGGCUGUUUCGAAAGUCGUGUGUGAAAGGCGAGGGCUCAACCCGCGGACGGCACAUGAUACUGAGAGACUAGAGUAAUGGAGGGGGAAGCGGAAUUCUCGGUGUAGGAGUGAAAUGCGUAGAUAUCGAGAGGAACACUCGUGGCGAAGGCGGGUUCCUGGACAUUAACUGACGCUGAGGCACGAAGGCCAGGGGAGCGAAAGGGAUUAGAUACCCCUGUAGUC
rnacentral:rRNA from 1 species